AACCUGUCAUGUAAGUGAGUCCGAUUUUAGACAUGGUAGUAGUAAUUAAUUAGUAAACACCUGACAAUCAGAGGAAGGCCCAGUGAGGACCGCAUGCCCGCCGCAGGGUCCCAGUCACGUGCUAAGCUCCUUUCCCUGUGCCACAAGGUCAGCUUUCCUGAGAAGUAAUGCAGAAAACUUUAAAAUGAUCCUUUAAGCGUUUUUCAAAAUACAUAUACUAAAGGGUGUUGUUGUUGUUGUUUAAAAUUAUUGGGAGAGGGAGAGACAGGCUCUCACUAUGAGACCCACAACAAUCUCGAACUUGCAACCUCUCUGACCUCCUUAGUGCUUCAGAGUGCAGGCAUGUGUUUAGGGGGAUGGUUAUAGUCUUGCCCAGCUUGAGAAUUGCAUUGCUUUUCAUUUCUUCAUUAUUAUCUCGCAUGCAUACAUGAUGGAGGGCCACACACGUGCCACGGCACCCACAGUGUGCUUUUCCAGGUAGCCCAUCUUUCUGGUCCAAGAAAUGCAUGUUUACCCCUAGCAAUGUCUGGUCCCAGCUUGUGCAGUGGCAGCAAUACUCCCUGCCUAUGUCACCCACCCCCGGCCACCAUGGAAGAUAGCUCGUAGUCGCAGUGACUCAGGAAUCAGAUGUUCCAUUUUAUUUCAUUUUAAUUUGUUUAAGUUAAAAUAGCCAGGGUUGGCUAGUAGCCAGCUCACCAGCCAGCACAGCUGUAAGCCUUCCCCUGAAUCUGAUGGCACAAAACCUACAACAAGUUUAUUACAGAGCUCUCAGGCCUGCAAGAUGGCUCCUGGGGAAAGGGGGCCUGCCACCAAGCCAGAGUUAGAUCCCUGAAACCCACAUGGUGCAGACGCUAAAGUUGUCUUCUGACCUCCACAUGUGCGAGAGCAUGCGAGCGCACUCGCGAGUACACACACACACACACACACACACACACACACACGCAAAUGUGAUUUUAAAAUGUAAAGAUCUUUUUCAUUCUUUGAACUUCAAUAUAGAAAUGGAAAGUCUAGACACAGGUGUGAAGACACACCUCCCUCCAUAUCAAAACACUUAGAUUUACAAAAGGAAACAGCGUUGUGAUGGAUGUAAUCUCGGAUGGCGGCUUUCACAUCAAAACCUGGUUAUAAUGUUUCAUUUCCCUCAAAAAAUCAACACAUUUUGAUAUUUUUUAAUUUAUAGAUAAAUGAUAUAAUUUUGUAUUUUCUGAAUCUCUUUGGCCCUUGUUUUAUAAUGAAAGGGCAAUUAUAUGUUUGGGGGGGGGUUGUUGUUUUUUUUUUUUUUAAUUUUCAGGUACUCCUGGAGAAAAUGCAAACAAAUGGUUUCUCCUAAAACCCUGGGGGAUAAAAAAUUGAUUUCUCCUUCCCCAUCUGAGCAUGUGCUAUUUAAAAAUCCCCCACCACUGAACAUGGUUUUGAGCUACAAAUUGCCAGAGUAUUGGUGGGGGUGGGAGUUGGGGAGGGGGCAUUGUGUUAAUUUUCUGAAGGGUUGGCACUGCCGACACAGUGACCAUCUCGUUCUGUACAGAGGGGGCAUGGCCCUCUAAAAACAUCGUUCCUUUAGAAGGCGUCUCAGCUGCAUUUAAGGAACACGCAUCAUCAUCCAUCCAGGGCAUGUUAUUUUUUUUCCCACGGGGCGUUUGAAUGUUAUUAAUCAUCUUUGGUCAUCAAGAAAGCACAGGACUCGAUUAAAUCAGUCAAGGACAUUAAAUCCCAGCCUCGCUCAGUCUGCUGGCAUACCGACACUGAGUUGAGGAACCAUUUGCCCAAGUAUCAUUUGGUUUGGAAUUGUACGCCUGUCUCUUUAAAUCU
rnacentral:lncRNA from 1 species